GAAAAUAGUUUGAUAACAUAUCCCGAAAGCAUAAGAUCUAAAAAUAAUAUUGGAUUAUAGAUCAAUUAUUAAGGUGCUGUGGCAUCAGCUCACAAUAAAUAAUAUUUUAGAGGUGAAAGGCCUACAAUUAUGUUGAUAGCUGGAUAAUUAUUAAAUAUAUUAAGUUUACAAUAAAUUUAUGAAGUGAUAAGAUUUCAUAAUAAGAAUUUAAUGUGUGUUAAGAAAUACUAUUAACUAACACUUAACAGUAUUUUAAUAAAACUAAACAAUUUUACAUAUAGAUAUUCUUUAAUAAUGAUUUAUUUAAUUUAAUUAAUAAACUAACUUGAUAAUGUAUAAAUAAGUAUAUUAUUAUAAAUUUAAUUAAAUAAACUCGGCAAAUUCUAUGUACGACUGUUUAACAAAAACAUAGCCGGUAGUUAUUAUAUUAUCGGUGCAGCCUGCCCGGUGAAUUUUUAACGGCCGCAGUACUAUGACUGUGCAAAGGUAGCAUAAUCAUUUGACUUUUAAUUGAAGUCUAGUAUGAAAGGAAAAACGUAUAUAAGCUGUAUCUAUAAAUAAAUUUAUCUAAAUUAUUUAUAGGGUGAAAAUACCCUAAAUAAAAAAAAUAGACGAGAAGACCCUUAGAAUUUUAAGAAAAGCCAUAAAUUUAAUAUGGGGUGAUUUUUGUUGGGGCAACAUUUUUUCAUUAAAUAAAAAAAUUAACAUUAUAAUAUAACGAAAAAGUUUAAUAAAGAAAAAAUUACCUUAGGGAUAACAGCAUAAUUUUAAGUAAAGAUUGUGACCUCGAUGUUGGAUUAGGAACUCCUAAGGCUAGUCGUUUUAGUAUAAUAAGUUCUGUUCGAACUUUGUUUCCUA
rnacentral:rRNA from 1 species